UUUCUUCGGAAAUGAGAGAGCGGCGUACGGGUGCGGAACACGUGUGCAACCUGCCUUUAUCUGGGGGAUAGCCUUUCGAAAGGAAGAUUAAUACUCCAUAAUAUAUUGAACGGCAUCGUUUAAUAUUGAAAGCUCCGGCGGAUAGAGAUGGGCACGCGCAAGAUUAGCUAGUUGGUGAGGUAACGGCUCACCAAGGCGAUGAUCUUUAGGGGGCCUGAGAGGGUGAUCCCCCACACUGGUACUGAGACACGGACCAGACUCCUACGGGAGGCAGCAGUGAGGAAUAUUGGUCAAUGGGUGCAAGCCUGAACCAGCCAUCCCGCGUGAAGGACGACUGCCCUAUGGGUUGUAAACUUCUUUUGUAUAGGGAUAAACCUACCCUCGUGAGGGUAGCUGAAGGUACUAUACGAAUAAGCACCGGCUAACUCCGUGCCAGCAGCCGCGGUAAUACGGAGGGUGCAAGCGUUAUCCGGAUUUAUUGGGUUUAAAGGGUCCGUGGGCGGACUUAUAAGUCAGUGGUGAAAGCCUGUCGCUUAACGAUAGAACUGCCAUUGAUACUGUAAGUCUUGAGUAUAUUUGAGGUAGCUGGAAUAAGUAGUGUAGCGGUGAAAUGCAUAGAUAUUACUUAGAACACCAAUUGCGAAGGCAGGUUACCAAGAUAUAACUGACGCUGAGGGACGAAA
rnacentral:rRNA from 1 species